GAUGAACGCUGGCGGCGUGCCUAAUACAUGCAAGUCGAGCGAACGGACGAGAAGCUUGCUUCUCUGAUGUUAGCGGCGGACGGGUGAGUAACACGUGGAUAACCUACCUAUAAGACUGGGCUAACUUCGGGAAACCGGAGCUAAUACCGGAUAAUAUUUUGAACCGCAUGGUUCAAAAGUGAAAGACGGUCUUGCUGUCACUUAUAGAUGGAUCCGCGCUGCAUUAGCUAGUUGGUAAGGUAACGGCUUACCAAGGCAACGAUGCAUAGCCGACCUGAGAGGGUGAUCGGCCACACUGGAACUGAGACACGGUCCAGACUCCUACGGGAGGCAGCAGUAGGGAAUCUUCCGCAAUGGGCGAAAGCCUGACGGGGCAACGCCGCGUGAGUGAUGAAGGUCUUCGGAUCGUAAAACUCUGUUAUUAGGGAAGAACAUAUGUGUAAGUAACUGUGCACAUCUUGACGGUACCUAAUCAGAAAGCCACGGCUAACUACGUG
rnacentral:rRNA from 1 species